AUCUGAAGAUGAUGAUGAUGAUGAUGAUGAUGAUGAUGAUCAUCAUCAUCAUCAUCAUCAUUAUCAUCAUCAUUAUCAUCAUUAUUA
rnacentral:pre_miRNA from 1 species